GGUUGAUCCUGCCAGUAGCAUAUGCUUGUCUCAAAGAUUAAGCCAUGCAUGUCUAAGUAUAAGCAAAUUUUAUACUGCGAAACUGCGAAUGGCUCAUUAAAUCAGUUAUAGUUUAAUUGACCAUCUCUUGUUGUGCAAGCAACAAGAUGUACUUGGAUAACCGUAGUAAUUCUAGGGCUAAUACAUGCUAAAAAAUCCUGACUGACCGGGGGGAAGUGUGUUCGCGCAUUCUUUUCUUUGGCCUUUGUAAUCGGAAAGGAUACAUUUAUUAGACUUACAAAACCAAUGGGUUUUUCGGGAGGGAGGUUCGCGCUUUUCUUUCGGAUUGCCAAUUCAAACAUUGAUGAAUCAUAAUAACUGCUUACGUGAAUCGUAUGACCCGGUUUAUUGUGUUUUCUUCCUUAAAAAAAGACUGCUUUUAAACCACAGAGUCGACGAUGCUUCAUUCAAAUUUCUGCCCUAUCAACUUUGGAUGGUAGUAUAGAGGACUACCAUGGUCGUAACGGGUAACGGAGAAUUUAGGUUUGAUUCCGGAAAGGGAGCCUGAGAAACGGCUUCCACUUCCAAGGAUGGCAGCAGGCGCGCAAAUUACCCACUGGGAACUUUUAACCCGAGGUAGUGACAAGGAAUAACAAUGCAGGAAUCCUUUGUGAUUCUUGUAAUUGGAAUGAAUCGAAUUUAAACCCUUCGACGAGGAUCAAUUGGAGGGCAAGUCUGGUGCCAGCAGCCGCGGUAAUUCCAGCUCCAAUAGCGUAUAUUAAAGUUGUUGUAGUUAAAAAGCUCGUAGUUGAAUUGCAGGAUAAUGUGAUUACCAAAUUUCAAGAUUUGUUUUUUUUUUCUUGUUCUUCCAAGAGCAAGAAAAAAGGGCUCUUCUCUGUAAAUUUUUUGGUCUACUUUUUUCUUUCUUCACUGAAAGCAAUUAAGGUUUAUUGUACCAAAGUCCAUUAUCCUUCCUUCUGGUAUGCUACUUUCUGCUCUUAAUUGAGUGGGAAGAUAUGCCCCUUGAAAGAGGGGAGUUGGCUCCAGAUCGUUUACUUUGAAUAAAUUAGAGUGUUCAAAGCAGGCAAUUUCACCUUUUUUUUUCUUUUUGGGUUAGGGGCUCACGCUUCUGGCACGAGGAGGAAGAGAAAACUAGUGCCUUGAAUAGCUCAGCAUGGGAUAAUAGAAUAGGACUCUGAUCUUCCGCGGUUUUUCCGACUCUUUCUUUUUUUUGGUUGGGCCUCGGCUCAGUCAUCUAUGGAAAAGACAAGAGGGAAGGGCCCUAUUUUGUUGGUUUCUGAGAUACAGAGUAAUGAUUAAUAGGAACAGUUGGGGUCAUUUAUAUUGAGUAGCUAGAGGUGAAAUUCUUGGACCUACUCAAGAUAAACUCGUGCGAAAGCAUCUGACAAGGAUGUUUUCAUUAAUCAAGAACGAAAGUUAGGGGAUCGAAGACGAUCAGAUACCGUCGUAGUCUUAACCAUAAACGAUGCCGACCAGAGAUUGGUAGAAGUCAUUUUUGAUUGCUGUUUGUGUCUUUGUUUCAAAGUGCCAAACACAAUCACCGACUCUCCCAGCAUCUUACGAGAAAUCAUAAGUUUUUGGGUUCCGGGGGGAGUAUGGUCGCAAGGCUGAAACUUAAAGGAAUUGACGGAAGGGCACCACCAGGAGUGGAGCCUUGCGGCUUAAUUUGACUCAACACGGGAAACCUCACCAGGUCCAGACAUAGGAAGGAUUGACAGAUUGAGAGCUCUUUCUUGAUUCUAUGGGUGGUGGUGCAUGGCCGUUCUUAGUUGGUGGAUUGAUCUGUCUGGUUGAUUCCGAUAACGAACGAGACCUCAGCCUACUAAAUAGCACAGCGAACCGUCUACAAAGUAGGGGAGUCGAAAGGGUUAGGUUAAUGUUUUGAGUGUCAUUCACGUGACAUUUAGGGCAUUGCUUUGCUCCGGAAGCUCUUCAUUCCAAAUACUUUGAAGGGUGAAGUCCGUGAAGAAGGGAAGCUCUUUUGAACUCACGUUUGGAAGGGUGGAAAUUUUUCCUUGUUUUCAAUGAGGGAGCUUGCUUCACCAUUGGAGAGAAGCUGUGGGUUUGUCGGGUUUUUGGUUAACCCCUUUAACUCGUGCAGAUCGCAGGCAGGCGGAUCCUUGAUGUGUUUAGCUGAAUUCCAACAGGAAGGGGUCCUUUUCUGGCCAGGGCGGGAGGUUCACGCCUUUCGUUUUGGUUGGGGAGGGAUCAAACCUCUUCCUGGUCAUGGUGGCUUCUUAGAGGGACUGUUCGCGUUUCCAGCGAAUGGAAGUUUGAGGCAAUAACAGGUCUGUGAUGCCCUUAGAUGUCCUGGGCUGCACGCGUGCUACAUUGAUCAAUUCAACGAGUCCAAAUUUUUGUUUUCUCUUACCUGGCAUAUUGCAGGGGGGAUUCGCGUCCCUUUUGUAGCUGGGUUUGUGGAAAACUUUGCCCUGGGCCGAAGGGUCUGGGUAAUCUUUUGAAAUUUGAUCGUAAUGGGGAUAGACUAUUGCAAUUAUUAGUCUUCAACGAGGAAUUCCUAGUAAAUGCAAGUCAUCAGCUUGCGUUGAUUACGUCCCUGCCCUUUGUACACACCGCCCGUCGCUCCUACCGAUCGAAUGAACCGGUGAAAUCUUCGGAUGGAGAUGUAUAACCUUCUUGUCAAAAAGAGGGUAACAUUUUUUCUCCAGAAGUUGCUUAAACCUUUUCAUUUAGAGGAAGGAGAAGUCGUAACAAGGUUUCCGUAGGUGAACCUGCAGAAGGAUCA
rnacentral:rRNA from 1 species